CUGGGCAUCAGAGCGAGACUCCGUCUCAAAAAUAAAUAAAUAAGUAAGCAAGUAAAUAAGUAAGUCUGGAUAUUUUAGUCCUGGAAAGGAUACCACAUUUGAAGUCAAAGACCUGAUCUGAAAUUCUGUCUUCACCGUUACUUGCUGUACCUCUGUUAAAUGCCCUAACCUCCCUCACCCAUGGUUUUCUCAACUAUGUAAUGGGAAAAUACUUGUUCUGCCUGCCUGGGGCUUAACAUUUAUUGUAAAGAUCAAAUGAAAUGAAUUUCUCCCCCUGCCCCACAGUGUGUUGGCGUCUGGCAGUUGUCUCCUGGCCACUAUCCUCUGUUGCAAGUUGAGAAAUGUGAUCUUUGUUUCCUGUCCAACCCUAGAGAUCCAGAAGGCGUCGAUCUGUCACAGAGAGUUACACAACAUUUUCUACCCAAGUCCCAGUUGAAGAAAAUCCACAGGAAGACAAGAUCUCUGUUUCUUUUCCUUACUUUCAUGCCCAUAAUUUAUCAUACAGAUGUGGUUUAAUGCUUUGUUGAUUUGACAUAGAUUCCUUUUCCAUUUCAUUGAUUGCUACUAAAAGAUGCACAAGGCUUUCAGGUCCUCACAUGAAUGGUGAGAUGAGAUCCAACAUCAAGAAUCCGAAGCAGAGACACUUGUGGUUUUGGAAUGUAGGAUGGUGGCCCUCGUGAUGCAGAGCAUGGCGUUUCUCCAGUCCUCCUUUCCUGUCCCGGGAUCCCAGUUAUAUGUGAACGGAGACCUGAGGCUGCAGCAGAAGCAGCCGCUGAGCUGUGGUGGCCUAGAUGCCCGAUACAACGUAUCCGUGAUCAAUGGGACCAGCCCCUUUGCCUAUGACUAUGACCUCACCCAUGUUGUUGCUGCCUACCAGGAGAGGAACGUUGCCACCAUCCUGAAUGACUCCAGCUUCCUCUGGCUGGUGGGCAGAGCCAUGAAACUCCAUUUGUGAUUAAUGCUGUCAUCCAAUAUCCUGUGGAAACCAUUUCUUAUCAGCCAGGAUUCUGGGAGAUGGUAAAGUUCGCCUGGGUGCAGUAUGUCAGCAUCCUGCUUAUCUUCCUCUGGGUGUUUGAAAGAAUCAAGAUCUUCGUGUUUCAGAAUCAGGUGGUGACCACCAUCCCUGUGACAGCAACGCCCUGGGGAGAAAUGUGUAAGGAGCGCUUAUCCUAGGAAGGCCGUUUCUGAAGACUCGGCAGGACCGUGGCUGCCUCAUUGUCAUCUCCUGGGAACAUCUUAGGACCUUUUGAAAGAGCCCAGAGGACACAUGCGGGCUUGUGUGCUUUUCCCCUCAGAGACAACAGUUCUUUCCAGUUUUGCUCUACACAAGUUCCGUAUCUUCAGAGCUCCUGCAGGAUCACCAAGGACUAGUUUGUGGAAAGGUCUGAGAGUUCCUGGAGGCUAUAAUUAGCUUUUUGGGUUUUCUUCCUUGCCUUAGAGUUGAAUUUCAGGAGAAAAUGGCAGGCAGUUCAGACAUCUUGGAAACAGUCCCAUCUCUGGUCAAGCGGAGACUUUUCCUCUGUUGAACUGAGAAACACACUGUGCAUUUCUUCCUUCUACUGUGAGCCACUCUUACGCUUUCCGGGGCUUUUUUGUGACAAACAUGCCAAUCACUAGCACUUUGCACCCCUGGGCAUCUCCAUUUCCCAUUCAGAGCUUUGAUUUCCAGAGCUGAGGCCUCUAACUGGAGACCUGGAGGGGCAGGGCCCAAGGGCAAGGGCCGCAUUAGCACAGGCAUGAGGGAGGGCUGCUGAAGGCGACUUGGACUGUCCACCUGCCCCAGCCCAACAGUCAGUCAUCUGUAAUCAGCUCGCUGAGCAGCCUUGGAUCUUUGCCGAACUGUGGCUGGCUCUUCACCCUAUUUUUCCCUCUCUCUGUGCCCCUGAUGGCAGACUAAAGUCAGAGGGGCUGUUUCAUUCCCAGCCCCCUCAGCAGCACUGAGGGAAGGAAGGAUUGUCACAACAGGUUCUUUCUGGCCCUCAUCCAACAGCCUGGGCACUUGGCCCUCCUCCUCCUUGACAGCCCUCCCCCUUCCUGCAAAGGACAGGGGCAACAGGAGUUGGGUGUUGGGAUUGGCUCCCACUGCCUGACAACCACAAGUUUAUUUGGAAGGCUAGUGGGAAGCCCAGCGGCUGGCCUUUCCCCUGACUAAGGAUCACAGUGCCCAUCAGAGUAGGGCAGGCAGCUUUGGGAAGGACACAAGAAGCAGUGAGGGAGUAAAGAAGAUGCUGGCCUGGGCAGGCCAGUCCAGCCUGGCCACUAGCAGAAUGCCAAGCAGUUCAGUGGAUUACCCUCGUGGCUAAGCAAGUGUCUGCAAGAGCAGAGAUGGCUGGAAGGGGCCUCUGCACACGGAAGACGGCUUGUUCAGCCCAUUCAUCUCCUGAGGAUGCGUGCAGUCUCCUCCAAGGACAGACGGAGCUGCUUUCUGAUCCCAAGCAGGUCAUUACCACUGGGAGGACAUGGCCCUUGUGAUCCGUGUUUCAAUGUUCACCCGGAAACGUACCCCUCAGUGUCGUGUCUCGUUUACCUUGGAGAUCAUUAUCCAUCUCCAGCACCCCAUUUCCUUUGAGGCGGACUAAAAA